UCUCUCUCUCUCGAUCGAAAAAAUUCGAUCUUGAAUCUCGUUCCUCGCUCUUCUCCAAUCCCAGAUUCAGCGGGGCGCCGCAGAUUCUUGUUCCGGCCAGUCGCAGCAGAGGUCGCGCGCGUGCGUUUGUUUCCGUCGAUCAGAAGACGGGUGUGAUGCAGCAGAGUGAUCCGGCGGUCCUGAGCUUGAGACCUGGUGGCGGUCGAGGGGCAGCGGCAGAAUUCUCCCGCCUCGCUUCUUCGAUUCUUCAUCGACAGCUUCUCUCGCCCUCGGCUCGCUCUCCUCCAAUCUCCCCCUCUCGCGUCCUCAUGGCGGCGGCGCGGCGGCGAAGCCUGGAGACUCAUGGCUUGAGGGUCAAGAACGUGUUAGAUACACCCGAGACCAGCUGUUACAGCUAAGACAGGCUAUUGAGGUGUGUGAUGAUAUUCUGAAGAUACAAAGGGAAAUUGAAGCUGAGUUUCUUGGCGAAGAUCAAGACUGGGAAGUAGGGAGAACAAUGUGCCAAAUCAAUGC